rnacentral:rRNA from 1 species
CCUACGGGUGGCAGCAGUGAGGAAUAUUGGUCAAUGGGCUUACGCCUGAACCAGCCAAGUCGCGUGAGGGAAGACUGCCCUAUGGGUUGUAAACCUCUUUUGUCAGGGAGCAACGCCGGCUACGUGUAGCCGGACGGAGAGUACCUGAAGAAAAAGCAUCGGCUAACUCCGUGCCAGCGGCCGCGGUAAUACGGAGGAUGCGAGCGUUAUCCGGAUUUAUUGGGUUUAAAGGGUGUGUAGGCGGAAGUCCAAGUCAGCGGUAAAAUUGCGGGGCUCAACCUCGCUCCGCAGUUGAAACUGGCGUUCUUGAGUGGGCGAGAAGUAUGCGGAAUGCGUGGUGUAGCGGUGAAAUGCAUAGAUAUCACGCAGAACUCCGAUUGCGAAGGCAGCAUACCGGCGCCCAACUGACGCUGAAGCACGAAAGCGUGGGUAUCGAACAGGAUUAGAUACCCUAGUAGUC